UUCUGUUCUCAGGGCGGGGUGAAACUCCCCACCGGCGGUAAGGGUUGCGGCCCGAGCCCGCGAGCGCUUUCCCAAGCCGACGCUUGGGAGGGGUCAGCAGAUCCGGUGCGAUUCCGGAGCCGACGGUCAAAGUCCGGAUGGAAGAGGAUGAGC
rfam:Rhizobium etli CNPAF512 RHECNPAF_contig89, whole genome shotgun sequence.